rnacentral:rRNA from 1 species
GUAAGGAAUAUUGCUCAAUGGGAGAAAUCCUGAAGCAGCAACGCCGCGUGGAGGAUGAAGGGUCUAUGACUUGUAAACUCCUGUAAAGAAGGAAAAAAUUCCCAUUUGAUGGGAGAUGAUGGUACUUCUGGAGUAAGCCCCGGCUAACUACGUGCCAGCAGCCGCGGUAAUACGUAGGGGGCAAGCGUUGUCCGGAUUUACUGGGUGUAAAGGGCGCGCAGGCGGGAUAAAAAGUCAGUGGUGAAAUCCUACAGCUUAACUGUAGAACUGCCUUUGAUACUUUUAUUCUUGAGUUCGGGAGAGAGAGACGGAAUUCCAGGUGUAGUGGUGAAAUACGUAGAUAUCUGGAAGAACACCAGUUGCGAAGGCGGUCUCUUGGUCCGACACUGACGCUGAGGCGCGAAAGCGGGGGGAGCAAACA